UUUGGAGUAACUGUCUCAAAAGAAUUGGAUGGAGCACCAUUAAGCCAGACCAACAGGUCCACAAUUCCACAUCUUUAACUGGACUACAGGGAAUAGGGAUUAAGCUUUUUAUGUAUCAGCAUUCAUUAGAAGAGGUGUCUGCAAACAUUUGGCCAUAUAGUGUGUCUGAAUGAUAGUGGUUCUACCGCAAGAACUGAACUGUAUCAUCCACAGCGCUACUGUUGAACUGAAUGAGUGUGGUGUGCUACUUGCGCUUUGUCUGCAAUGCAGUUGUUUUCUUUUCUAAAAUGCCUGCUAUUAGUGUGUGUGUGUGUUUAUAUGAAUAUUUGUUACCUAAUACAGAGAACUUAGAACUCAAACUAUGAGAUUCAGAUCCAGACCAUUGAAAUGUAUUACUCUUAUGGAAGCAGUCGGUUACAGUAGAUGAUGUACAGUAUGUGUGUACCGCUCUACAAAAAGCGAAAGCAAGCUUCUUGUCAGUGGAUGCAUCUGUGUUUUGAGAGUUUGGACUUUGCUAACAGUUGAUCUGUCCGUGCUCUGCCUGCUGAUGUGUUCUUUUAUAGCAGCUGCUGGGAGAAAGUAGGACAAGCUUUAUGAAACAUGAAGAAAAACAACAUUCAACCUACUGAGAAAGUGCCCAAAAUAUGCCAUAGCUAUGCUUAUGCUUUGGAAUGUGCGAAACUGUGAGUCUGUAGAGGAUGUGACGUGCACCAAUCAGCCACAACAUUAAAACCACCUUGCCCGAUCAGCCAUGUUGAGGUAUGGUUUGCUAACCAUGCUGAGAAAACCAGGCUCCACACGGAUUGUGAGCAUGUCGUGCCAAACCGUGUCCAUGUGGAAAAGCUGCCAGAACGGUUAUCCUCCAAGCUCAGACCCACUCAGAACCGUUCAGCCCUGAAGUGGAAAUGAGGCCAGUAAGUCUUCAGUGCUCAUGACCUUGUCAUCAGAUCACUGCUUGUCCUUCCUCGCUGGACGUUUUGGUGGGUACUGAGCACUACAAUCUGGGAACCCUUCACAAGACCUGCCUGAUGUUUUGGAGAUGCAUUGUCCCUGUCGUCUACAGUCAUCACAAUUUGGCCCUUACAUUUUUAUGGUUUAUCUAUAACAAAAAAAAAUAGAAAAUGACUGUUUAGUUGCACCAGUGUUUUUGUUUGUUGUAUUUUACGUAAGUGGUUUUAUUGUUAUGGCUGAUUGGUAUAUUUUCACAGAAUGAACAUGAUUCUGAUCAGGCAUGGCCAAUCUCAGUCUUUAUAUACAAUAGACGUUAUAUACAGGCAAGUGUUGAACUGUGAUUGAUUUCUGAUUGUAGACUGUUGUUCAUACAGUUUGUAGACUCUGGUUGCAGUGGAGCUGUAGUAGUCUUUAAUGGGAACGUCUGUACUAAAUUCUGCUGAACUGGACCAUUUAAUUAAUCAAUGUUAGGCCAAUAUUAUAAGGUUAAUGUGAUUUUUUUUUUUUUUUAUGAGGUUGAAUAAGACUUUUGUCAGCAUUUUGUAAAACUUGUCCAAUCCAGCAACAGUUUGCCAGUGAAGAACACAUGCAUGACCAAAGCAUGGAUGGAUCAGGUGAUUGCAUUUAUGAAGAGGUUAAAAUGCCCUCCUAAACCCCGCCCCUUCUCAGCCUCCCCUUUCCAAAUCAUCGCUUGCCCUUUGCUUGGUCAUUUGCAUAAAGCAUUGUAAGCAUUUUGAGCUUUGUAAAGGUCAUUUUUUAAGAACUUUUAUUUUCUGUAUAUUGUACAACCUGAAGUGCAAAAAUAACUGUUAUACAAUAGCUUAAAGAUGAAAUAUUAACACAAAAAAAAGAACAUUUUACUCUAGAUAAAUGGAUAUUUCUGCAGUAAGGAAAUGCUUCUGGUGCCUUACAAAUAAAAUCAAUCAGAACAGUGGAGAAA
ensembl:lncRNA